UACGAAGGGGGCUAGCGUUGUUCGGAAUUACUGGGCGUAAAGCGCACGUAGGCGGGUCGUUAAGUCAGGGGUGAAAUCCCGGAGCUCAACUCCGGAACUGCCUUUGAUACUGGCGACCUUGAGGCUGGAAGAGGUUAGUGGAAUUCCCAGUGUAGAGGUGAAAUUCGUAGAUAUUGGGAAGAACACCAGUGGCGAAGGCGGCUAACUGGUCCAGAUCUGACGCUGAGGUGCGAAAGCGUGGGGAGCAAACAGG
rnacentral:rRNA from 1 species